rnacentral:rRNA from 1 species
UGGGGAAUAUUGGACAAUGGGCGAAAGCCUGAUCCAGCCAUGUCGCGUGUGUGAAGAAGGUCUUCGGAUUGUAAAGCACUUUAAGUUGGGAGGAAGGGCAUUAACCUAAUACGUUAGUGUUUUGACGUUACCGACAGAAUAAGCACCGGCUAACUCUGUGCCAGCAGCCGCGGUAAUACAGAGGGUGCAAGCGUUAAUCGGAAUUACUGGGCGUAAAGCGCGCGGAGGUGGUUUGUUAAGUUGGAUGUGAAAUCCCCGGGCUCAACCUGGGAACUGCAUUCAAAACUGACUGACUAGAGUAUGGUAGAGGGUGGUGGAAUUUCCUGUGUAGCGGUGAAAUGCGUAGAUAUAGGAAGGAACACCAGUGGCGAAGGCGACCACCUGGACUAAUACUGACACUGAGGUGCGAAAGCGUGGGGAGCAAACA